UUGUAGAAUGAACCGGCGAGUUACGAUUUGAUGCAAGGUUAAGCAGUAAAUGUGGAGCCGUAGCGAAAGCGAGUCUGAAUAGGGCGUUUAGUAUUUGGUCGUAGACCCGAAACCAGGUGAUCUACCCUUGGUCAGGUUGAAGUUCAGGUAACACUGAAUGGAGGACCGAACCGACUUACGUUGAAAAGUGAGCGGAUGAACUGAGGGUAGCGGAGAAAUUCCAAUCGAACCUGGAGAUAGCUGGUUCUCUCCGAAAUAGCUUUAGGGCUAGCCUCAAGUGAUGAUUAUUGGAGGUAGAGCACUGUUUGGACGAGGGGCCCCUCUCGGGUUACCGAAUUCAGACAAACUCCGAAUGCCAAUUAAUUUAACUUGGGAGUCAGAACAUGGGUGAUAAGGUCCGUGUUCGAAAGGGAAACAGCCCAGACCACCAGCUAAGGUCCCAAAAUAUAUGUUAAGUGGAAAAGGAUGUGGCGUUGCCCAGACAACUAGGAUGUUGGCUUAGAAGCAGCCAUCAUUUAAAGAGUGCGUAAUAGCUCACUAGUCGAGUGACACUGCGCCGAAAAUGUACCGGGGCUAAACAUAUUACCGAAGCUGUGGAUUGUCCUUUGGACAAUGGUAGGAGAGCGUUCUAAGGGCGUUGAAGCAUGAUCGUAAGGACAUGUGGAGCGCUUAGAAGUGAGAAUGCCGGUGUGAGUAGCGAAAGACGGGUGAGAAUCCCGUCCACCGAUUGACUAAGGUUUCCAGAGGAAGGCUCGUCCGCUCUGGGUUAGU
rnacentral:rRNA from 1 species